GUAGCAGAACUAGCACUACUGCCAUCAACCUCGUCCCCUCCUCUCCUAUCUAUUAGUAUAUAAAGAAAAGAACAAGGGAGCCACCUCGAUUUCAGGGGAGAUGAGACUUGGACUUAUACCAUCCACACUCCUGGUUCUCAGGCCUUCAGUCUCAGACUGGAACUCACACCACCAGCUUUCCUGGGUCUCCAGUUUGCAGACAGCAGAGCAGUAGAUCAUGGGACUUCUCAGCCUCCAUAACUGAAAAGAGAGAGAAAGUUAUCACCCAAACUGGAUCACGGAGACAUACAUGUGAAAAGGUGCUUCAAGCAGAGGAUUUGCGUAUGGUCCUAAUCCCCCACUGCGUGUACGUGAAGCUAUCUGCCAGGAAUACAGUGAAAAGGAAAUGAGAACACAGUAGCCCCCUGUUGGAAACCCAGCUGUAAUUUCUAGCAUUCAGAUACAUCAUGGGGCACAUCACGACCUUGAACCAUAAACAUAUAUGCAGUAAAAGCCC
rnacentral:lncRNA from 1 species